UUAAAUUGAAGAGUUUGAUCAUGGCUCAGAUUGAACGCUGGCGGCAGGCCUAACACAUGCAAGUCGAACGGUAACAGGAAUCAGCUUGCUGAUUCGCUGACGAGUGGCGGACGGGUGAGUAAUGUCUGGGAAACUGCCUGAUGGAGGGGGAUA
rnacentral:rRNA from 1 species